rnacentral:rRNA from 1 species
GAUGAACGCUAGCGGCAGGCCUAACACAUGCAGGUCGAGGGAGGAGCUUUCGGGCUUCGACCGGCGUACGGGUGCGUAACGCGUAUACAAUCUGCCUUUCACAUAGGGAUAGCCCGAAGAAAUUUGGAUUAAUACCUAAUGGUAUAUAGGAGUGGCAUCACAUUUAUAUUAAAGCUGAGGCGGUGAAAGAUGAGUAUGCGUUCUAUUAGCUAGUUGGAGAGGUAACGGCUCCCCAAGGCGACGAUAGAUAGGGGUUCUGAGAGGGAUAUCCCCCACACUGGUACUGCGAUACGGACCAGACUCCUACGGGAGGCAGCAGUGAGGAAUAUUGGACAAUGGUCGGAAGACUGAUCCAGCCAUGCCGCGUGCAGGAAGACGGCCUUAUGGGUUGUAAACUGCUUUUGCAGGGGAAGAAUAAGGACUACGAGUAGUUUGAUGACGGUACUCUGCGAAUAAGCAUCGGCUAACUCCGUG